rnacentral:lncRNA from 12 species
CUCUGUGCUGCCCUUUCUGAUUGUUGACUUGCUCCUGAACAGAACAGGAGGAAAAAGAACAUGUGUCUUGAGAACAUUCUUAAGGAAUCCCCUUGAAAUUUUGUAUUUUACUUUAAAUACUUCUCUAGGUGCUUCUCCCAGCCAGAGGUUCAGUCUGCACUACUGGUUUUUAUAGCUACUGACAUAUACAUUGUCAUUGUAUUUCUCUGAUGGAUUUUUUAUCUCAAUCCCAAAGCCUCCUGUAUCAGUGAGGUCUACAGUUUAAUUAUGUGCUUUGGAAGAAAGCACUUCCUCCAUGUUUUUGAUCUUAUUAUCUGAUCAUUGCAUUAGAUCUACAUUAGAACUGUACUUGGAAGCAGGCUGUUCUUGUAAAUUUGACUUUAAUGGGCUCCAAACAGAAGUUUACCAUGCUGAUUCAAUUACUACCUUCUGCAGAUUGUUGCAGAUCGUUGCAGAUCCUGAAUGCUCAAGAACAUUUUACCAUUCCUGAAAUGUAUCUACUUCCAAGCUGGAAAUGGCAGCACAGCAAGUGCUGCCAAACCCAAAAGUGCAUUGGUAGCUGGGACUGGUUGAAGUGCACACAGGUGAUGAUGCUGCUGUUGGGGACUGUGUGGGCAGGAGUUUCAGGGUUGGCUGUGGAGUUGGACACACACAUGGGAAAAGCAAGGAUGGAGAGGAUGUGACGGUGCAGCGUUGAGGUUUGUCUUCUGUGAAUCACUGAAGUCAGCUUUAUGCUGUCCUCUAUAAGAGUUCCUUCUGAGGACCAUCAGUUUUGGUUUGGCUUGGAAGAGACCUUAAAGCUCAUCCCAUCCCACUCCCUGUCAUGGGGAGAGAUGUCUUUCACUGUCUCAGGUUGCACCAAGCCCCAUCCGCCCUGGCCUUGGACACUUCCAGGGAUGGGGCAGCCACAGCUUCUCUUGGCAACCUGUGCCAGUGCCUCACCAGCCUCACAGGAGAGAUUUUCUUCCUAACAGUCAAUCAAAGCCUACUCUCUUUCAAUGUGAGGCCAUUGCCCUUGUUCUGUCAUUCCAG